rnacentral:rRNA from 1 species
CCUACGGGAGGCAGCAGUGAGGAAUAUUGGUCAAUGGACGCGAGCCUGAACCAGCCAUGCCGCGUGCAGGAAGACUGCUCUAUGAGUUGUAAACUGCUUUUAUACGAGAGUAAACGCAGACACGCGUGUCUUUCUGAAAGUAUUGUAUGAAUAAGGAUCGGCUAACUCCGUGCCAGCAGCCGCGGUAAUACGGAGGAUUCAAGCGUUAUCCGGAUUUAUUGGGUUUAAAGGGAGCGUAGGCGGUCGGAUAAGUCAGUGGUGAAAUAUCGAGGCUCAACCUCAGAAUUGCCUCUGAUACUGUUAGGCUAGAGAGUAGUUGCGGUAGGCGGAAUGUAUGGUGUAGCGGUGAAAUGCUUAGAGAUCAUGCAGAACACCGAUUGCGAAGGCAGCUUACCAAGCUACUGCUGACGUUGAGGCUCGAAAGCGUGGGGAGCAAACAGGAUUAGAUACCCUAGUAGUC